rnacentral:rRNA from 1 species
AGGACGAACGCUGGCGGCGUGCUUAACACAUGCAAGUCGAGCGGAAAGGCCCUUCGGGGUACUCGAGCGGCGAACGGGUGAGUAACACGUGAGCAAUCUGCCCUUAGCUUCGGGAUAGCCCCCGGGAAACCGGGAUUAAUACCGAAUACGACCUCGGCCGACAUCGGCUUUGGUGGAAAGUUUUUCGGCUAGGGAUGAACUCGCGGCCUAUCAGCUUGUUGGUGGGGUAAUGGCCUACCAAGGCGACGACGGGUAGCCGGCCUGAGAGGGCGACCGGCCACACUGGGACUGAGACACGGCCCAGACUCCUACGGGAGGCAGCAGUGGGGAAUAUUGCGCAAUGGGCGAAAGCCUGACGCAGCGACGCCGCGUGGGGGAUGAAGGCCUUCGGGUUGUAAACCCCUUUCAGCAGGGACGAAGCGAGAGUGACGGUACUGCAGAAGAAGCGCCGGCUAACUACGCGCCAGCAGCCGC